rnacentral:rRNA from 1 species
AUUGAACGCUGGCGGCAGGCUUAACACAUGCAAGUCGAGCGGGGUGAUGGUGCUUGCACUAUCACUUAGCGGCGGACGGGUGAGUAAUGCUUAGGAAUCUGCCUAUUAGUGGGGGACAACAUCUCGAAAGGGAUGCUAAUACCGCAUACGUCCUACGGGAGAAAGCAGGGGAUCACUUGUGACCUUGCGCUAAUAGAUGAGCCUAAGUCGGAUUAGCUAGUUGGUGGGGUAAAGGCCUACCAAGGCGACGAUCUGUAGCGGGUCUGAGAGGAUGAUCCGCCACACUGGGACUGAGACACGGCCCAGACUCCUACGGGAGGCAGCAGUGGGGAAUAUUGGACAAUGGGGGGAACCCUGAUCCAGUCAUGCCGCGUGUGUGAAGAAGGCCUUAUGGUUGUAAAGCACUUUAAGCGAGGAGGGGGCUCUUUUGGUUAAUACCCAAGAUGAGUGGACGUUACUCGCAGAAUAAGCACCGGCUAACUCUGUGCCAGCCGCCGCGGUAA